rnacentral:lncRNA from 1 species
AAUUUUCUAAUUUUGUCUGUCCUUCCCACUAUUUCCUUCAAUUUUCAGAGGCAGCAGUGUUUGAGCUGUAGUUAUCGGGUUUUCCUGGCUCUUUCUCAGAAGACUGGAACAAGGACUUCAUUCCCUGUUCCUGAAAUGGGCCUUUCCUGUGCUGAUCCUCUCCUGGUUCAUACAGCCCAUGUACAAACAGUCUGCUUCUCAGGAUGAAAACAACUCAGUCAACCAGGCGCCAUGGAGGCAUCCCUCAGUCACUUGGCACCCCUGGGCAGGCCACAAAUUCUCACUGUGCUCCUGUGUUCAGUGAGAGCGAUCAGGCUCUGCUCUACCAAAGGAAAACGGGCCUUGAGUGGCUGGGUGCUUGGUGCUUGGCCUGCAGUGCUAUGGAGGGUGAAGGGGAGCCGGCUUGCCUCACUGUCCUGGAUGACCGCGGUGUCUUCAUUCUGAGAAGCCGACAUUUGCACGUGGGCACUAAGAACCGAGAGGGGAACAGCAUUGGAAGAGCCCUUGCCAGGAAUGAGGGAACCAAGUCCUUGCUGCAGGUUCCUGAGCAAGAGCCCUCAGAACCCUAUAGAACCCUCUGCUCAAGCACUACUACCUCCCUCAACUAAAGGGAUAGGUGGCGGGGAUGGACCAAGCCAGAAAUCCCUGGCUCCUGAAGAAAGAAGGCAGGCUUCUUGCUGACAGGGCUCCCAAGUGUAGUCCUGCAGAGGACGCUUUUUGUCAAAGCCCACAGGCCUUUCUUAUUCUGUGUACAACCUGAUUGAAAAGAGACUGUGCUGGGUCCUUUGUUCUCUAGUUUCUCCAAAUCAUGUGUGAUGAAGAACUCUAGCAGUGUGUGUCUUCUUUGCCACCCCUGAGCCCUUUGGAUGAAAGCCUGUUUGUGGGGAAAGUAUUCUGACACAGUAUCUCAGAGUACUACCGUCUUCUUUCGGCUUGGAGGUUUGGUUGGUGUUUUAGUGGUGGUGAUAGAGAUGGUGUUUAGUUGAUGGUUUCAUUGGGCAAUUUUCAAUAUGGUUUCAGAUGACGAGGCCCUUCCCAAAAACAGGGUGUGUGCAGGUGUCCAGAGACACUGCCGUGUGGGUAGGCUAUGGCAGAGGUUGGGGGUGGAUCCCGCCUCCUUUAUGGGACAAGGGGAAGGUCGUGGUCUCUUUUCUCGUUGUCCUCCAUGCCAAUUAGAAGGCACAGCUUUGACUCACCUAUCGUCAUUGCUGUCCCAUUGCUGCUUUCCUAACUUGGUCUCAGUUCACACACGGAGACCCUGUGUCUGUCCCCUACAACAACCAAGGUCCCUGCAGGGAGAUGCGUUUCCAAGCCUUUCCUGAACCAAUGCAGGGCUCGCAGAGUCUGAUAUCCCAGAGGACACCAAGGCCCCCUGUCCCUGAGCCCUUGGUGCUGGCAGGCCACGGUAUCGUGAGAAUGGGUAGCCAUGUGGACCCGCCCCAAAUGGAUGGAGCUACCGUCAUUCGGAAGAAUAGUCUGUGCGUGUGCAGCAUGCUCCAUGAC